CCGAAUUCGUCGACAACAGAGUUUGAUCCUGGCUCAGGACGAACGCUGGCGGCGUGCCUAAUACAUGCAAGUCGAGCGGACUUGACAGAGCUUGCUCUGUUCAAGUUAGCGGCGGACGGGUGAGUAACACGUGGGCAACCUGCCCUGCAGAUUGGGAUAACUCCGGGAAACCGGGGCUAAUACCGAAUAACAUUGGAAACCUCAUGGUUUCCUUUUGAAAGGCGGCUUCGGCUGUCACUGCAGGAUGGGCCCGCGGCGCAUUAGCUAGUUGGUGAGGUAACGGCUCACCAAGGCAACGAUGCGUAGCCGACCUGAGAGGGUGAUCGGCCACACUGGGACUGAGACACGGCCCAGACUCCUACGGGAGGCAGCAGUAGGGAAUCUUCCGCAAUGGACGAAAGUCUGACGGAGCAACGCCGCGUGAGUGAAGAAGGUUUUCGGAUCGUAAAACUCUGUUGUCAGGGAAGAACAAGUACGGGAGUAACUGCCCGUACCUUGACGGUACCUGGCCAGAAAGCCACGGCUAACUACGUGCCAGCAGCCGCGGUAAUACGUAGGUGGCAAGCGUUGUCCGGAAUUAUUGGGCGUAAAGCGCGCGCAGGCGGUCUUUUAAGUCUGAUGUGAAAGCCCACGGCUCAACCGUGGAGGGUCAUUGGAAACUGGAAGACUUGAGUGCAGAAGAGAAGAGCGGAAUUCCACGUGUAGCGGUGAAAUGCGUAGAGAUGUGGAGGAACACCAGUGGCGAAGGCGGCUCUUUGGUCUGUAACUGACGCUGAGGCGCGAA
rnacentral:rRNA from 1 species